rnacentral:rRNA from 1 species
AGAGUUUGAUCAUGGCUCAGAGCGAACGCUGGCGGCAGUAACACAUGCAAGUCGAGCGGGCGUAGCAAUACGUCAGCGGCAGACGGGUGAGUAACGCGUGGGACGUACCUUUUGGUUCGGAACAACCCAGGGAAACUUGGGCUAAUACCGGAUAAGCCCUUACGGGGAAAGAUUUAUCGCCGAAAGAUCGGCCCGCGUCUGAUUAGCUAGUUGGUGAGGUAAUGGCUCACCAAGGCGACGAUCAGUAGCUGGUCUGAGAGGAUGAUCAGCCACAUUGGGACUGAGACACGGCCCAAACUCCUACGGGAGGCAGCAGUGGGGAAUAUUGGACAAUGGGCGCAAGCCUGAUCCAGCCAUGCCGCGUGAGUGAUGAAGGCCCUAGGGUUGUAAAGCUCUUUUGUGCGGGAAGAUAAUGACGGUACCGCAAGAAUAAGCCCCGGCUAACUUCGUGCCAGCAGCCGCGGUAAUACGAAGGGGGCUAGCGUUGCUCGGAAUCACUGGGCGUAAAGGGUGCGUAGGCGGGUCUUUAAGUCAGGGGUGAAAUCCUGGAGCUCAACUCCAGAACUGCCUUUGAUACUGAAGAUCUUGAGUCCGGGAGAGGUGAGUGGAACUGCGAGUGUAGAGGUGAAAUUCGUAGAUAUUCGCAAGAACACCAGUGGCGAAGGCGGCUCACUGGCCCGGUACUGACGCUGAGGCACGAAAGCGUGGGGAGCAAACAGGAUUAGAUACCCUAGUAGUCC